rnacentral:rRNA from 1 species
GCGGCGCGGUGAGUAACACGUGGGUAACCUACCUAUAAGACUGGGAUAACUUCGGGAAACCGGAGCUAAUACCGGAUAAUAUUUCGAACCGCAUGGUUCGAUAGUGAAAGAUGGUUUUGCUAUCACUUAUAGAUGGACCCGCGCCGUAUUAGCUAGUUGGUAAGGUAACGGCUUACCAAGGCGACGAUACGUAGCCGACCUGAGAGGGUGAUCGGCCACACUGGAACUGAGACACGGUCCAGACUCCUACGGGAGGCAGCAGC